ACUAAAAUGCAGAUAGAUGUGUAAGAUUUAAGCUCUAUCAGGAAGUAUUCUUCUUUUAGUA
rnacentral:tRNA from 1 species